rnacentral:rRNA from 1 species
UACGUAGGGCGCAAGCGUUAUCCGGAAUUAUUGGGCGUAAAGAGCUCGUAGGCGGUUUGUCGCGUCUGCCGUGAAAGUCCGGGGCUCAACUCCGGAUCUGCGGUGGGUACGGGCAGACUAGAGUGAUGUAGGGGAGACUGGAAUUCCUGGUGUAGCGGUGAAAUGCGCAGAUAUCAGGAGGAACACCGAUGCGAAGGCAGGUCUCUGGGCAUUAACUGACGCUGAGGCACGAAGGCCAGGGGAGCAAACGGG